UACAGAGGUCUCAAGCGUUGUUCGGAAUCACUGGGCGUAAAGGGUGCGUAGGCGGGCCGGCGCGUCGGUCGCUGAAAUCCCCCGGCUCAACCGGGGAAGGGGCACCGAUACGGCCGGCCUGGAGGGGGGUAGGGGGCGCUGGAACUCACGGUGGAGCGGUGAAAUGCGUUGAGAUCGUGAGGAACGCCCGCGGCGAAAGCGAGCGCCUGGACCCUUUCUGACGCUGAGACGCG
rnacentral:rRNA from 1 species